GACGAACGCUGGCGGCGUGCUUAACACAUGCAAGUCGAACGGAAAGGCCCUGCUUUUGUGGGGUGCUCGAGUGGCGAACGGGUGAGUAACACGUGAGUCACCUGCCCUUGACUUUGGGAUAACUUCAGGAAACUGGGGCUAAUACCGGAUAGGAGCUCCUGCUGCAUGGUGGGGGUUGGAACGUUUCGGCGGUUGGGGAUGGACUCGCGGCUUAUCAGCUUGUUGGUGGGGUAGUGGCUUACCAAGGCUUUGACGGGUAGCCGGCCUGAGAGGGUGACCGGCCACAUUGGGACUGAGAUACGGCCCAGACUCCUACGGGAGGCAGCAGUGGGGAAUAUUACACAAUGGGCGGAAGCCUGAGGCAGCAACGCCGCGUGCGGGAUGACGGCCUUCGGGUUGUAAACCGCUGUCGCCUGUGACGAAGCGUGAGUGACGGUAAUGGGUAAAGAAGCACCGGCUAACUACGUG
rnacentral:rRNA from 1 species